rnacentral:rRNA from 1 species
UACAGGGGGGGCAAGCGUUGUUCGGAAUUACUGGGCGUAAAGCGUGCGCAGGCGGCUUUGCAAGACAGAUGUGAAAUCCCCGGGCUUAACCUGGGAACUGCAUUUGUGACUGCAUGGCUGGAGUGCGGCAGAGGGGGAUGGAAUUCCGCGUGUAGCAGUGAAAUGCGUAGAUAUGCGGAGGAACACCGAUGGCGAAGGCAAUCCCCUGGGCCUGCACUGACGCUCAUGCACGAAAGCGUGGGGAGCAAACAGG